GUCUGCUUCCCAUGUCCUGCUUACAGGCUUCCCAUCUGGUUGAACAAAGUGAGAAUAAGACGUUGGACUGGGUGAGCCAUCAGCCUGAGUUGCUGUCAGGCAAUACUUUGACACAAUUUAUGAAGCAUGUGUGGAAUGUACAUGCAUAUCUGAAAGGUAUCCUGCACUACCUGGAAGUAUAUAUUGCUAUUACAAUUUCAUUCUGUCAUAUUCAAUUUCCCUAACAGCAUACAUGAUACAUUCGCCAGCACUUCAGCCAUAUUUUCUGGUUAUAGCUUCCAUAGUCCAGAUCAUUGAUUCAUUGACUGUUAUCUCCAUUACUAGACCAGUAAUUGAGGAGGCUCUAUUAAGCAGUUGUAUUUAUUUCCCAGCCCCCUUCCUGUGGCACAACAUUUUGUUUACAUUUUUCUUGAAGUCUCAUCUUCAGUCAUAAUAGUAGUUUGUUAUCAUUUGCAAAAGCAAAAAUUAAAAGAACUAAAUAUAUGAGGAGGAGGUAAGAAAUAACACCAUUCAAGGUUGCUGAAUAAAUGUGGUUUAGAGUCUCUUUUACACACACACACACACACACACACACACACGUGUGUGCAAUGUUUAUAAAUCUGCUUCCUGUUUUUAUAGCACUUCUGGCAUGGCGGAAGCUGGAUGUGAUCCAACAUAGGUUUUAAAAUGAAAAUACGGAUCUCCUCCCUUCACAAAACUACACCAGGACAUGCAGCCAUGAAAGAUACUGGUAAACCCCAAUCUGAGUAGUUCAUUGAGGCUAAUGUUUCUGUAACUGUACCAUUCUCUACUUAGACAUCUUCUCUGUAUUUUCCUUGGUCCCUGAAACUCCCCGGUCACUGCUAAUGACAAAAAGACUACCAUCUGCUUAAGCAAAAUGAGGGCAGAGUAUUAAUACUUGUUCCCUAGGUCAAUUGGCCAAAUCAUCAGUUUGGGUUGCACUCGUUGCUGUGUCCAAAUCCUUGCCCUUUAGAUUGGCUUAAGUCAAAAGAUCAAAGAACCUAUCAACUGUCAAGUGUCCAGAUAUCAGUCUGACUACUAAUAUUUAAAUAGUUCCAUUUAUAUACAGCCCCCCCCCCGUCUGUCUGCUUUCAAAGCAGUGACCUGUGUGGUUACUCUGAUUAUAUCUUAUUGUUCUCUUUGUAAACAUUUGAAUAAACAGGACUGCCAUGCUAUUAACAUUCUGGAACAUAUAUUUUAAACACAAUUACUUAAAUAUUCUGGUUUAAAAUAAGUAUGUCCUGCAGGCCUAAAUGUUUCUGCCCCUUAUUAUCUGCACAGUUCUACUGGUCUCAUUCAGCAUUUAUUUGGAAUAUAUGUAUAAUUGCCAAGCAUUACAAAAUACACAUUACAUAUUAAGAUAAUGUAUAUUUUGUAAGAGUGUCAGCUGAUGAAAGAAUGUGAAAAUUAUAUUAAGCUUGUUUAGAGCAUUACUUUACCUCAAUAUAACUAGUUUAUUUCAAGCUGAAUUCAUCAUGAAAUUGCUUCCACAUGCACUGAAGUGCAGCUGGAUUUGUAUUUUUUAAAAGGAGCCAACCCAGUGCAAGUGGGUUGUCCAUUAACACUAGUUCUAGCUGCAAUUUACUAUGCUAGUGUCAAUGAAAUCCCUAUUGGCCUUGUUAUGUACUGAAGUUGUCACCCUGGGCCAGCAGGGGGAUACUGUAGAUAGUUAUGCAAAUAAGGGAUCAAAAGUGACGUUCAGUGAUUGGAUAGUUUUAGAAAGUUGUUGCAGUAACGUUGUACUGGAGCUCUAUAUAAGCAGGCUGACUGAACCCUUUCAGUUCGGUUUUGUCCUGGCCUGUGAAUAAACAAGAGCUGUUUGAAGAAUCACUGUGUCGUCUGAUAUGUUCACCCACAACUUAACAGGCCUGAUGACUCACUUGAUCUUUAGUAGGUUGGAGGAGGGCCAUCUGCAGUGGUGACUCUGCAACAUAGCAGAAAGAAGACCAGACGCUCAGUGCAGCUGCUACAGCAGGGAUGGGGGAACCUGUGACAUUGAAGCUUUGGGGAGACCAGCAGUUCCUGGGGGGACACUGUGCUGCAGCGUAUUCGAGAAAGAGAUGAUUCAGUCACACUGUUAGAGUUUCCAGUUAGAGAUUCCUGGGACAACUGCAAACAAAGCAUUUUAAGUGUGUUGUAAAGUGCAAUAUACAAAUCUGACACUAGAUGGUGACAGAGAGCUAUGAUAAUUUCAAUGGAUUUUUCAAAACUUUUUUUUUUAAAAAAAAGCAUUUUCACAGCAUUUUUUAUAUGUGUGUAGAUUCCUCCCUAGUGUGUGUGUGUGUGUAUGUGUGUUUGUUUGUUUGUAGAAGUUCUUGACAAAUGUUUAAAACAAUGAGCUAAAACCCCAUAAGGUUAUACAUACUAGGUAAACACCUUAUCCUCCCUUGCCCUCUUUGUUCUCAUCUCAAUCAAAGAUUACCAAAAAAGAAAGUCAAAAUAAAUAUAGCCACUUUCUCUGUCCCCCCCCCCCUCUUUCUCACCCACCCACCCACCACCUUUUUGAAAGCUAUACAGUGGUACCUCAGGUUACAUACGCUUCAGGUUACAUAUGCUUCAGGUUACAGACUCCCCUCACCCAGAAAUAGUGCUUCAGGUUAAGAACUUUGCUUCAGGAUGAGAACAGAAACUGUGCCCCGGCAGCGCAGCGGCAGCAGGAGGCCCCGUUAGCUAAAGUGGUGCUUCAGGUUAAGAACAGUUUCAGGUUAAGUACGGACCUCUGGAACGAAUUAAGUACUUAACCCAAGGUACCACUGUAUAUGAUUAGGGCCCUGACAUUGCCUGGACUAGGGACGCGCAUCUGGUACAAAAUGUUUACAAUAACAGCUUGCAGUAUUGCAAGCGAAUAAUCAAGAGUCAUGGCACAUUAAAUAGGCAUAAAAUGCCAUUCCAUUCAGAAGUGGUAAAUAUGUAGGGCACAUUUUUCCAGUCAUUUUUGGAUGUUAGAACUCUGCAUUAACACAGGAGCCAGAACAUAGUUCUUGUUUUGUUUUGUUUUUUAAUCAGGAAAAUGGCCCAGGAGAAAAGAAUUCGCUCAUCUUCUCAGCCUGCAAUAUGAAUCAGAUCUCCCUGUCCAUAAAGUCAUAGGAACAUAGGAUGCUGCCUUAUACUGGACUGUUGGCCCAUUUGCCUCUGUGUUUACACUUGGCUGGCAGUGGCUCUCCAUGGAUAUUCCCAGCCCUGCCUGGAUGUGGUGGGGACUAAACCUGGGACCUUUUGGUGUAAAACAAGAUAGUACUGCCACUGAACAAUGGACCAGUCACUGUUCAACUUAAAAAAAAAAAGCCACAACAACCAGGGUUUCCCAAUGUCAUCUCACAUUGCAACCACACCACUUUCUUCAUUUCUUUUAUUUUGAAAGUUGCAUUAAAAAUAUUUUUAAUUUUGUAACUCCUGUGAGGUGUUAAUUAAUUAUAUCUGGGAUAAAACAAAUGGCCCUCUGCUGUCUGAACAGCACACUCCCCAAAACAAGAGUGCUAUUCAUCCAUUAUUGAAGUUGUGCAAGAAAUGGGCAAUAAAGCCCAUCUUUAUAAUCUAUUCAGCAGUCUGGUCUUUUUAGGUGUGCAUCCGCCGUGUCAUAUUCUCAUGCAUUUGUGAGUAAUAAUUCAUUUCAUAAUUUGUUUACCAGGGGAAGACCUGACAGAGAAAUGCCAUUUCAUAUUCUAAGGAUCAUAAAACAGUAACCCGAGGUGUAAUUGGUACAAGCACUAACCUUUUCUCUACACGCUGUUUAUUACAAAAUUAUUUGUUUGCACAACAUUUGUACCAAGGAGCUUUUCUCCUAGUCUAUCUCACGCUUGUUUCAGCUGGCUGAGAUGCUGGAGAAAGAGCUUCACUUAAGUGGGAGAAAUCCACAUAUUGGCAGCUGCUUCAGUCUCAUGCCUACUUAGAAGCAACUGCUAUUGAAUUUAGCUGGGGUUCCUUCCAGGUAGGAAUGGGAGAAUCUGUCAAUUUUGGUCUCUCUAAAUUCCUCAUAUUUUCAAUCUGAAAUUCAGUUCUCCACAUUUCCAUAUCAAUUUACAUUAAAAAACAACACAAUCCUCACAAUUGCAUUUUCAUUUUAGUGCAAAUUCUCUUAUAACAACAACAACAACUUUUAUUUAUACCCCGCCCUCCCCAGCCAAAACCGGGCUCAGAGCAGCUAACAUCAAAUAUAUGACACAUUACCAUAAAAUCGAGCAAUCAAUUAAAAUACAUCUUAAAAUACAUGUUUCAUAUGCAUUUUUGCCUAAUAUAUAAUUGUUUGCAAUGAAGUUUCCCCUAAUGUAAUGCAUUUUUGUAUGUUAUUUUCACUAAUACUGUGGAACCUCGGUUUUCAAACGUAAUCCGUUCUGGAAGACCGUUCAACUUCUGAAAUGUUUGAAAACCGAAGCAUACAUUUCUGGAAGCAAUUACGUCUGGAACACUCAGUACGGAAGCCACAUGGCACAUUCAGCUUCAAAGAAGCAUUUGAAAACAUAAGCAUUUACUUCUGGGUUUUGGCGUUCAAAAGCCGAACUGUUCGACUUCUGAGACGCUCAAAAACUGAGGUACCAUUGUAUAUGAUUUUAAUGCACAAUGUAUCACAACAUACACAUUUUGUACACAUUCCUUGCCUGCAUUUAGACAAUCUGGAUACAAAUUUCAAAGGACUGCUAUAUUUUGAUUUGUGUAUUGUUCUGGAAAGUGUGAUUAGGUAGGUUUGCCUUUAAGUGCAAACUGAAUCAUAUUUCUCCCUCAUCCCUAUUCUACACCUAGCCCUAAUGGACUCCACUAGCCUCUACCCUCAGAGUGAUACCAAUGUCUCUCUGUCAGCGUGGAGCUUCCUGUUAAUGCCUGCUGAACAUGCAGGUGGAUAAAAGUACCACUAGUGGGAUCCCUGCCAGCAUUAGACCACGGAAAGCCUUGAAAUGGGCCAUUAUGGGGUCAAGAAUGUGCUGAGUCAGCCCCACUGCGCUCUCUCUCUCUCUCUCUCUCUCUCUCUCUCACACACACACACACACGUGCAAUAUUCACGGUGGUAGUUAACGACUUAAUAGGGGACAACCUGAGUUGUUGAAAUGAGUUUUGCACUUUUUGUUUCCCCAAUAGAAUAUGUUCUCCAGAUGUUGUUAGAAUACAACUCCUAUCAUCCUUGAAGGGAGCUGGAUUCCAACAACAUCUGGAAAGUCACAAGUUCCCUGAAUUCCCAAUACUAUAAGCUUGCAUAUACUUAGAUGGAUUUUUAAAAGGUGGAAAUGGUUAUGACAGAUUGAAUUUCUAUGCUACCUUUUUACUAAGGAGCUCAAAGUGGUGUGUACGUUUUUCUCUCCCACCCUAUUUUUAACCUCACAACAACUAUGUAUGGUAGGUCAGGAUGAAACAAGCUGUGAUUGGCCCACAAUCACUGAGUGGGUUUCAUGGUUGGGUGGGAGGAUUUUUAGCCUGAUUUCCCUGGUCCUAGUGCAGACUCUAACCACCACUGGCUCUUCAUGUGAUCUAAUGUUAUAUUCCCACCACUGCACACAAACACAUAUGCAAAGAAAAAAGUUGGAGAGCAUUCAUUCUAUAAAAGUUCAUUUUGUUUCAGUUUAUUUCCCCAUCAUGCUGCUUUUUAACAGCAUAUGCAUUUUGAAUCUAAUUUAUAUUGGCUGCAAUAGGUUUGGACCAGUUUCCCUGCUGCCAUCCAUCACUGAAACUAUAUAAAUGCAGUCAAAGCAUUUGAAAAUAUUAGAGCAUCCACUUUCCCCAUUACUUUCAUGAAGAACACAUUCAUUUUUAAUAGGAAAUGUUAUCUGAAGUUUAUGAUGUAACCCUACCCGAGAGAGAUUGUCCCAAUGACUUUUUAGUUGUUAUGAGGCUAAUAGACAUCUCUCCCUUUUGGCUCUCUACUUUGACUGCUCUGAAGUGAGGCUAAUAUGGCACAAAAGGAAACAGUUAAAAAGAGUCCGGUGGUCCUUUAAAAAUUGAUUGUGGCUUGAAGAAAGCUGUCUCUUGGCAGACGUCACUGCAAUGUCUGACAAGGAAAGACAGAAAAGAUAAAGGGCCGGAAAAUAUUCUGAAUCACGUAUUACUCUUCC